AGUCACUGACAUUAGAUACCCGUGUCGUCCAGGGUGUAAACGCUGCAGACUUGGUGUUGGGAACCCUUCGGGGGUGCUCAGUGCCGGAGAGAAGUUGUUAAGUCUGCUACUUGGGGAGUACGUCCGCAAGGAUGAAACUUAAAGGAAUUGGCGGGGAGCACCGCAACGGGAAGAGCGUGCGGUUUAAUUGGAUUCAACACCGUAAACUCACCAGGGAAGACUGUUACAUGAAGGCCGAGAUGAAGACUCUGCUAGAUUUUCAG
rnacentral:rRNA from 1 species